UUUUACACUCUUGACCUCGGAUCAGGUAGGGAUACCCGCUGAACUUAAGCAUAUCAAUAAGCGG
rnacentral:rRNA from 1 species